rnacentral:rRNA from 1 species
UAAACUGAAGAGUUUGAUCAUGGCUCAGAUUGAACGCUGGCGGCAGGCCUAACACAUGCAAGUCGAGCGAGAAAGCACUUCGGUGUGAGUAGAGCGGCGGACGGGUGAGUAACGCGUAGGAAUUUGCCCAGUAGUGGGGGACAACAUGUGGAAACGCAUGCUAAUACCGCAUACGCCCUAYGGGGGAAAGCAGGGGAUCUUCGGACCUUGCGCUAUUGGAGAAGCCUGCGUCGGAUUAGCUAGUUGGUGGGGUAAAGGCCYACCAAGGCGACGAUCCGUAGCUGGUCUGAGAGGAUGAUCAGCCACACUGGGACUGAGACACGGCCCAGACUCCUACGGGAGGCAGCAGUGGGGAAUAUU